rnacentral:lncRNA from 1 species
UGCCACUGCACUCCAGCCUGGGCGACAGAGUGAGACUCUGUCUCAAAAAAAUGAAUAAAUACAAAAAUAAAGUUAAUUGUUCUUAGAUAGUACAAAUCUGCCUUCUAAUAGUAUAGCAGGAGCCCUCUCAUCAGAAACCUUUAGUUGUUUGGUUAAUCUAAAAAGUUAUUUAAAUCAGGGUGUCAUAAAAAGUACAUAUAUAGACAUUUUAACUUUAAAUAUUCUAUAUUUACCACUUAUUUACUAUAGGAUCCAGGUUUUUUCUAACUUUUUAGUGUACAUCUACUCAGUCGGGCUGUUGGUGAUAUAGUGGUACAGCAUAGCUGCCUUCCCAUAUAGGUCUGCUGAUAGAUGUUCUCUAAUUGUCUUUCUUGAAUUCCUGGCCUCAAGGAUCCUCCCACCUCAGCCUCUCAAGUAGCUGGGAUUACAAGCUGGAGCUUGUAAUCUAAUUAUCUUUCUUAUACAAAUUACAUGCAUUACAUUACAUAGGUGUGAACCACAGAUGCAGAAUUCUUGAAGAUUUUUACUAUAUUUUCCCCCAAUCUUUUAGAGCAGUUUUGCCCACAGUUAACCAAUAGCUUUUUUUUUUUUUUAAAUUUUUAAAGUCAACAAACUUUUAUCUAGUCUUUCCAAAGUAUUUAACUUGGCUUUAACAGAAACUAGAACUCUUCACGCUUGCGUCCUUGGCUCAUAUUAUCAUCAUAAAAAGUUCACCUGGCAUAAUCAGUUUGUUUGGUAACUGUAUUUGUUUCCUAGAGCAGUUGUAACAAAUUACCACUCCACAAGUGGCUUAAAAUGAGAAAUUUAUUCUCUCACACUUCCGGUGGCUAGAAAUCCAAAAUCAAGGCGUCAGCAGGGCCAUGCUCCCUCUCCAAUCUCUGCCUAGUCGUCACAUGGCCUUCUGUCUCUGUGUCCUUUUCUGUCAUUUAUAAGGAUACUGUCAUUGGAUUUAGAACCUACUCAUAUCCAAUAUCAGCUUAUCUCAAUACUUACCUAUUACAUCUGCAAAGACAUGAUUUCCAAGUGAGAAUACAUUCUGAGGUUGCAGGUGGACAUAAAUUACUGGGGAACACUAUUUGACCCACUACAGUCACAAACUCAAACAGCCUUUGGUAAACAUACCUUGCAGCAAAUGGGAAUAGAAAACACAACCCCUACUCAGGUUAAACAACAGAAAUUUAUUUUCUCACAGUGUUGGAGGCUGAAAAUCCAAGAUCAAGGUAUCAGCAGAUUUGGUUUCUUCAAAGACUUCUCUCCUUGACUUGCAGAUGGCACCUUCUCACUGUCUUUAUAUGGCCUUUCCUCUGUGCACUUGUAUCCCUGGUGUGUCUUCCCCUUCUUAUAAGGACAUCAAUCCUAUUGGCUUUAGGGCCCCACCCUUAUGACCUCACUUAACCUUAGUUACCUCUUUAAAGGCCCUGUUUCGAAAUAUAGCCAUGUACCACAUAACAGCUUUUCAGUCAAUAAUGGACUGCAUAUAUGUUGGUGGUGCCAUACGAUUAUAAUGGAGCUAAAAAUUCCUAUCACCUAGUGACAUCAUAGCCAUCAUAAGGUAGCACAACACGAUAAUCAUGUUGUUUAUGGUGAUGCUGGUAUAAACAAACCUGUGCUGCCAGUCAUAUAAAAAUCUAGCACAUAAAAUGAUGUAAGGUAUAUAGUACUUAAUAAAUGGCUAGGUUACUGGUUUAUGCAUUACUGUGCUAUAUGUUUUGUCAUUAUUUUAGAGUGUACUUCUACUUAAAAAAAAGUUAACUGUGAAACAGCAUAAGGCAGGCCCUUCAGGAGGUCUGUGAGAAGAAGGCAUUGUUACAGGAGAUGACAGCUCCGUGGGUAUUAUUGCCCCUGAAAACCUUCUAAGCAGGACAAGAUGUGGAGAUGGAAGACAGUGACAUUGAUGAUCCUGACCCCGUAGACAGGCUGAAGUGGUGCAGUCAUAGCUUACUGUAGUCUUGACCUACUGGGCUCAAGCAAUCCUCCUGCCUCAGCCUCCUGAGUAACUAGGACUACAGGGCAGCCUUGAACAUACCAGGAAGCAAUAGGAAAAAACUGGAGAAAGUGAAAAGGCUGCGAUGAAGGAAAAGAGGAGACAAACAAGGGUGACAUUGGCUGGGCAGCAAAGAUGACCAAAAGGCCAAGAAGCCUGUGCUGUUCCAGUAUUGAUCCGGUGCUCCUCCGUCACCAUCCGACCACAGAACCUCAGGCUGAUAGUUGUUCACUAACUCAUAGAGCUCUGGCAAUGUCUUAGAAACUGGAAAUUGCCGCUUAUGGAAUGAACUGGAUUCAUCCUCAAGGAAGAGCGGAUGAAACCAUUCAAAAAGGGAAUAGUACAGUCCAAAACGCAGGUUCUGGCUCUGUCACCCAGGCUGGAGUUCAGUGGUGCGAACUUCGCUCACUGCAUCCUCGACCUCCUGGGCUCAAGUGAUGCUCCCACCUCAGCCUACCAAGUAGCUAGGACUACAGGUGUGUACUCCACCACGCCCAGCUAAUUUUGUCUAUUUUUUCAGAGACAGGGUCUCACUUUGCUGCCUAGGCCAGUCUCAAACUCCUGGCCUCAAGCAAUCCUCCUUCCUUGGCCUCCCAAAGUGUUGGAAUUAUAGAUGUGAGCCACUGCACCUAGCCUUAGAUUCAUUUUAAUAAGCUUUUUAAAACAGCUCACUCUUGUUCCUAUCAUUUCUGUGGUAAGCUUCAGAGCAGUGUUGAUAUCUAAAGUCAUACUCAAAGUUACUCAACUUGACAGGCCCUAAUGUCAGACAGUACUAAAACCACUUGAGUCUUCAUUUGAAUAUCACCACCAUAAGCUUACACUGCGACGUUCCUUCCUGAGCUUAGUAUGCAUUUUCCAUGAGCAAUGAAAACAUCUGACAACAUGGGUCCCAGAAAAUGUAUACAUGUGGGCUACAUCAUCUCUCCUCACAGUUUGAUUAACAAUUUUUAUUAAAUAAACUCACUAUGUAAUGUUUUGUGCCAUACAGCUUGGGAAAGUUCCUAGACAUCAGGAAAUCAGCAUGUUCUCAAGCAAAUACACUUGAUAGACAUUCAUCUCAGCAGGAUAAAUAUCUACAGGAGAAAAUCAUGAAGCUACCAGAAUGUGGCCAAAGGGAAAAAUAUCCUAUGAUCAUUCCAGAUUUUUUGUGUUGGUUCUCCUCUCCUAUUCCCAUCCCAUCCCUGGAGAAAACAAUAAGGCAAAGUUUCCCGUUUUUUUUUUUUUUUUUUUUUGAGACAGGAUCUCCCUCCGCCACCUAGACUGGAGUGUAGUAAGCCUAUCUCCGCUCACUGCAGCCUCAAGCAGUCCUCCAACCUAAGCCUCCCAAGUAGCUGGGACUACAGAGACAUACCACUACGCUAAUUUUUUAGUUUUUGUUUGUUUGUUUGUUUUUGUAGAGACAGGGUCUCACUAUGUUGCCCAGGCUGGUCUUGAACCCCUGGGCUCAAAUGAUCCUCCUUCCUCGGCCUCCCAAAAUUUUGGGAUUACAGACAUGAGCGACCACAUCCAGUGCAAAUUUUUUUAUACCAAGGCAAAGAUGAUCAUGCAAAAGAAACUAAUGAAUGAACAAGCCGUUGGAACAAAAACAAUUUGUUAAUGCUUCCCUGGCCUUACAAAUACUGGAGUGGUAAUGGGUGGAAUCCAUUCUAUUAAAAUAGAAUGGAUUUUAAAUGUGUGGGGGUUUAGAUAUUCUUCUACCACCUCUGAUUUUUCUGGAAACCAUUACAGUUCCACAAUCCUUUUCCCUCCAGGUGAUCUGGGUCACUUUCAUCACUUUCAUCACUAUCAGUUCAUCCACUAUUUGCACCAUUUGGCCAGCUAAGAGUUGGCUAAAAGUGCAGCCAGGUGUGUCGUAAUGAUGCAAGACUAUAGCAGUAUAAUCCCCAUGAUGCAUUCACAGGAUGCAUUACAGAGAAGGGGAAGGAAAGAGUGCAAUUCCAAGAUGAACUUUGACUUGCAACCCACACUCCCUUCAACAAACAGCUUUAAGUAAAUCUUGGAAAUAUUGUUCAAAAUACAUGUGACAAAACGUGACCAUCUUUCCUCUGUUACGUGGCGGGUAUGAUCCUUUCUGUAUUCCUAACAUCUCUCAAUUUGGGUUGAAUGUGCAGUCCCUAAGUCAUAAGCAAGUGCCAGUCACCACUUAUGGUUGCUCCGAAGAGAAAAUUAGACCUUGCUUUAGUUUUUUCUUCCAAAAGAACAACUUUUCAUUUCUUAACCAUUGUCAGCAAUUUCCAUAGGCUGGAUUGACUUACCUUCAUGAUGUUUGGAAGUUAAGACAAUGUAUUUGGCACCAGAGGCCUGAAAAAUAUCUGCCCACUGGUUGGCAUUAAAAAAUUUUGCUGU